AGAUAAUUGAGUUUCUACAAUACACAAAGCUCAAUUAUCUGCUGGCCAGAAACAUUACAGUUUUCAACAAUUUCAGAAAAGUACUUUUUAUAUUACAUAUAAACAUAACAACAUCCCUGGGUAGCUGAUGGUCUGGGAAGCAACAUACUUAAAUUUCAUGAAAAUCCGUUCGGUAGUUUUCGUGUCGCGUCGCGUGGAAGUUUGACCGGCUCCCUGCACACUGGUAUCCGAUUUAGAGUUCCAUGAAAUUGGGUCUCCGUUCGCAUCAAU